UGAAUUUUAGAAAACCAUCUCACAUGACUCUCUCUCUAAAAUUUGUGUCGUUCACGUGUAGCGUUCGUUGCCAGUAAUCUCCAACCAUCGCCACGGUCUCACUCGCCGCCGCCAACAUCGCCGUUACGAUGGUUUUGUGUUUUGGAGGCCAUUAGUGUGUUGAUCAGCAAAGUUAAGGUGGUUUUUUUACCAGAUUUAUGGUAAAGACAAGGAAUGUACUAGGUGCUUGGCGAGGAGAUCUAUUGAAGGUUACAUAUAGGAAGAGUGUUGAAGCUUCCGCUCAAUAUCACAUUUUAAAGAAAUUU